rnacentral:rRNA from 1 species
GAUGAACGCUGGCGGCAUGCCUAACACAUGCAAGUCGGGCGGGCAGUUGUGUUUCUUGUGGCGGACGGGUUAGCAACGGGCAAGAACCUGCCAUGUGGAUGGGAACACCAUCUGGAAACGGCUACUAAUACCACGCAGGCCUAGGAGCAGAAGGAGGAAUCCGCCCGAGGAGGGGCUUGCGACUGAUUAGCUAGUUGGUGAGUCAAUAGCUUACCAAGGCGAUGAUCAGUAGUUGUUCCGAGAGGAUGAACCGCCACACUGGGACUGAGCCACGGUCCAGGCUACUACGCGAGGCAGCAGUGGGGAAUAUGCCGCAAUGGGCGAAAGCCUGACGGGGCAAUGGCGCGUGGAGGUAGAGGGCCCACGGGUCGUGAAAUGCUUUUCCCGGAGAAGAAGCAAUGACGGUAUCUGGGGAAUAAGCAUCGGCUAACUCUGUG